ensembl:lincRNA
GCAGUAUCUCCUGUUUCCGGAGCUGAGACCGGCAGCCUCUGCCUGAUUUAUUGAAGGAGCAAGAGGAUCCCAGUUUCCGCGCUAACACGCAGCUGUCACAUCUAGUUGGAGACAGCCACUUCUUCCCAGCUGUUUACCUGCUCUGGCAAGAAGGCACCCUAUUCCAAAAGCGAGUAGGCUGGAGGAGGAGUCUGCAUGGUGCUUGCUGCAGGUCAAUUUUGUUUGGAAAUGAAUGCUAAGGAAAGCAUCGACUGGUAAGUGACCACAGCUCUUUUUUAUGCUCAUUUUGUUCAGUGGAUAUUCUACAUUCUUUCUAGCAUUGCCGUUCUCAAGUGAAGUCACUAAGAAAUAUUACAUACCAAUGGGUUUGCUAAGGAAUAUUUAAAAAAUCAAACCAUGCAUUCUGGAAAAUGGUAACAAAACAUAUUUAAGUAAUUUUAUCACAGCUUGUUAUUUUUUCUAACAGUUAAUUUGAAAAUCAUAGAGGAUUUGGGGGAUUUAAUAUAAUAAGAGAAGCAUGCCUUUUUGUUAUUCAUGAGUCGUAAAGGUUGAAAUAACUGUUAGUACAAAGUUGGAGGUUUUGCAGUAAUGAAGAGUGUUCCAGAUUUGUUUCCUAUAGAAUGUGUUAGCUCUUUUGUCCUCUUUUAUUUAAGUCCAUGGAAAGGUUCCAUGGACUUAAAUAAAGGGGCUACAUAUCACUGAAACACAAAGAUCUAGUUUUUACCUUGUGAAUUGCAUCAGAUGGUUUGUUCAAGAGACAAUUUUUAUGGUGUUUGAGCCUGUUCUUUGAGUAGGAAAAUAUUUUUAUAUACAAUGUAUCUGUGUGUGAAGUGUCAGUGCAAUUGCAGUUUUGUAGGUUUUAGCAUGAUGAUUCAGAAAAGAUUAUGUAUGUGUUUCCAUUUGUUGUCUUCAUUUCAAUAGAGGAAAAAUAUGUUUUUAAAUAUAUCUCAUGCUAGUCAAACAGGAGCUGCUUCUAGGAUUAAUUGAUAAAACUUGAUUGCAUACCAUUUUCUCUGAUUGUUAAUAUGCUAUGGUGGUAUUUUUUCCCAUAUAAUUCCCUUAUAUAUCCAGUUUGGGAGAGGACCUCAUCUGCUAGCACCCCAGAUAAAUAAAAGAAUGUAAAGGAAUUCCAAACUAAAUAGUAAGAUUAGGUAUAGAACAGACUGAAAGAAUUGGCUAGUAAGCUUUGUAAAUAAUUUGUGGAAACCUUGAAAGGUUGGAAUUAAGGAAAAUGGAAUAUGAUGUAAUGAAACAAAUGACUAGAAAUAUACAAGAGUAGCAAAAAUUCAGUUUGUAAAGUGGGAAUUAAAAACAUCUGGGUUAAUAUGCAUUCAUCUAUUUUAUGAUUGAUUUCCUUAAAAAUAUGCAAGGCAGGUUAAAAUUCAUCACUGAAUAUAUUCAGCAUAUUUGGUUUUUUCCUUAAUUGGACACUCCCAAUGGCACUCAUAUUUUUGAGAACUAAAAUGUAGGAUAUUGUAAAAGGACAUAAAGGACACCUUAACAAUUACUUUUAAUACAACUACCAAUGGAUGCAUCUACAAAAUACCCCACAUUUAAGGUUCAGAGAUCAUUGCAGAAAAGGUGCAUAAAAUAUUAUAAAAGCUAGAGGAUUGGGAAGUUUUAUGUGAGAUUAUAUUUCUUAGAAAUAUUUGAAGUUAACUUCAUGAGAUCUUACCAAUAUGACUGCCCAAUCAUGAAUUGAACAUGGACCAUACCAAUGUACAUGUCAAAGUAGACCUGGAAAAGCUUAAAAGACCUAUGCAAAGAAAUAUGUGUCAGGUGUCAGCUAAGGAAAACUUGUUGCAGGAGUGGUGGUCUAUCCUAGGGCAAACAUAUCAAUCAGGUUCUCCAGGGACAAAUGGUCAGCCCUAAAAACACACAUGCAAAUAACAUUAUAUGGAGUGAAGGGGUUGUAUUUAGAUGCAUACACACACAGAGAAACACACACAACUAUAUUUAGUGAAAUAGGAAAACUAUGAUUUUGAACAAGAGUGAGGAAUUGGAAGUGGGAAGUUUUGGUAUAGACCUUGAAACUGACUUGAAGCCUUGAAAUUGAGUGCUGAAUCCUCCACUCACAACAAGUUUUAGUGCUGCUAUCACUGUGAUUAACUUAAGAUAAUAUAUGGGACUUCAUAUGAAAUAUACAAAUGUCAACCUCCCGUAAAGAUAAAAAUACUGGCUUAGCUGUGAUAUUACAUCAGGUACAUAGAAAUAGAUCCACAUACAUACUCCAUGUCAGUCUUUGAAAACACACAUGCACUUUCUUGUGCAUAUGGGUACUUUUUAAAACAAAUGAAAUGUGAUAUUUAGUACAUAGAAAACAAUGUCUUGAUGUCUUGAUGUCAUUACUAGGAACUCAUCACAUGUAUAAUCACUUUUUUUGUUUUGUUUUGUUUUAAAGGACAAAAACUAUGGGUCCAAAUAUAAAGUGAAAGUUCCAGUAAAUUGAAAUGGAAACAUUUUAAAAUGAGUCACAAUGAGUGAAAAAUUGGGAUUCUUUCAUGAAAUUACUCUAAUUCCUUUACGUGUUCUUGCAUAGCUCUAAGUGUGCCUAUUGACUUUCAAACAUGAUACAAUAACAAUUGUCCAUAUCCCAAACAAAAUCAGGGAGAUAGAUUUCACAAAAUUUUAGUCUCAACAAGUAGUUAGUUAAACAAAAAUCAUUAAAUCUUACUAAAAAUAACUUUAUGAAAAGCAUUUUGUUAAUAAAAUCUUGUAUCAUUUUCUAUUAAAUUUUACCAUUUAACCUUUCCUUAAAGGCAGAUCAUUGUCAAUAUGUAGCCUAUUAUCUCAGUUGUCUUUUAAUUCUCCUAAUGUACCAGUUUCACUUGGAUUUUAUUCUCCAAUAUUUAUUCUCUCUCUUUCCCCGUAAUAUUGGUAGUAUUAGAUUCAUUUUUGUAACCCUAAAGUUUUUCUAUCUAAUCCUACUUGAAACAAAUUCCAUCCAACAUAACCUCAUGUUGUAAUGGUAUUAUCUUCAUAAAUCUUCCCAUGUUCUACCUUUUCACAGUUGCAAUUAGAUACUAAAUACUUCCCCACACACAUAUGCACUAACAUGCCACGAAACACAGCCCAAAGUAAAGUCUCAAUUAAUUUAGUCAGUGAUAUGAAAUCUAAUUAAAAGUAUGUCUAGCAUGCAACUUGCUUCACUGUGUACUCCCAUGGAGUCUAAGGUAAAAGAUAUUUACAUAAUCUCAAAUUAUCUUCCCACAAGUUGCAGAUCAUUUCUAAGGAGACAACAAACAAUAGCUUUAGACCAGAAAACUCAAAAGACUGUAGUAUCUCUGC